AAUAAAGUUCUUCUUUUCUGACAUUGCCCAUACCAUCUGCAUUACCUGUUGACAUGCAUAAUAUGUGCAAAUUACAUCCUCUCGAAGAUAAAUAAUUAAGGGUUGGAGUAAAGAACAUAGACUCAUCAUCAGGAUGGGCAACAACCAAUAAGACAUUUCUGUUGUGAAAUACUCCACCAUCAUUUAGAACUGCAGCUUGUGAGGCAGAGAGAGAUUCAUGGAGAAUUUUAAAGAGUGAAG
rnacentral:misc_RNA from 1 species